rnacentral:rRNA from 1 species
GACGAACGCUGGCGGCGUGCUUAACACAUGCAAGUCGAACGGAAAGGCCCUGCUUUUGUGGGGUGCUCGAGUGGCGAACGGGUGAGUAACACGUGAGUAACCUGCCCUUGACUUUGGGAUAACUUCAGGAAACUGGGGCUAAUACCGGAUAGGAGCUCCUGCUGCAUGGUGGGGGUUGGAAAGUUUCGGCGGUUGGGGAUGGACUCGCGGCUUAUCAGCUUGUUGGUGGGGUAGUGGCUUACCAAGGCUUUGACGGGUAGCCGGCCUGAGAGGGUGACCGGCCACAUUGGGACUGAGGUACGGCGCAGACGCCUACGGGAGGCAGCGGUGGGGAGUAUGACACAGUGGGGGGAAGCCUGAUACGGAGGCGCCGCGUGCGGAAUGACGGCCUUCGGGUUGUAAACCGCUUUCGCCUGUGACGAGGAGUGAGUGACGGUAAUGGAUAAAGAAGCACCGGCUAACUACGUG